rnacentral:rRNA from 1 species
CCUACGGGAGGCAGCAGUGGGGAAUAUUGGGCAAUGGAGGCAACUCUGACCCAGCAACGCCGCGUGAAUGAUGAAGGUUUUCGGAUUGUAAAGUUCUUUUCUAAGGGAAGAAGAAAGUGACGGUACCUUCGGAAUAAGCCUCGGCUACCUACGUGCCAGCAGCAGCGGUAAUCCGUAGGAGGCAAGCGUUAUCCGGAUUUAUUGGGUGUAAAGGGAGCGUAGGCCGGUCUUUAAGCGUGUGGUGAAAUUUUGUGGCUUAGCCAUGGGAGUGCGGCGCGAACUGGAGACCUUGAGUGCGCGGAAGGCAGGCGGAAUUCGUGGUGUAGCGGUGAAAUGCUUAGAAAUCACGAAGAACCCCGAUUGCGAAGGCAGCCUGCCGCAGCGUUACUGACGCUGAAGCUCGAAAGCGCGGGUAUCGAACAGGAUUAGAUACCCUUGUAGUC